CGGUAGGGGUGGGAGGGCUCCUCUCUGCGGGCUUCCCAGGCACCUCCCGGGGCUCUGGGCGUCCCUACACCCCCCUCUCGGCACCCUCUCGGCGCUCGCAUCCCGCUCUGCCAAGGCCAAGGUGUCUCCUAGCCCUUCCCAGUUUCCGGUCCUUCGCUCCAUCCAGGUCAGCUCGCUCCGGCUGGCAGCGCCAGGAGCCCGCCAGUCCUCUAUUUACUGUUUGGUUUCCACGGUGACACGUAGGCGCCGUCAGCGCCUCCCGUCAGCGGCUCCCACCCGGCGCCGUGACGUCUGCCCGCCGUUUCCGCUCGGCCCAUAUUUGGAAAGGCGCAGCGGGCGGGGAAGGGCUGGGAGCCGGACUCCCGCGGCGCCCCGCCUCCUGCCCGGCUCCGCCCCCGCGCGGGCCUGCGGUGCCCUGGGCCGUGCUCCCCUCCUCCUACCGGGACCCAGCGGAGGCGGGCGGGGGCUCGGGUCGCCCGCAUCCCUGGGGCUCUGCUAGUGGAGGCUGCAGUCAAAGCGUAGGGCCUGGCUCAUCUGUUUCGGAUUCUCGUCCGUGGUGCAGUGCAGAGCUUUGCGGACACGUUCUGGGGUCGGUGUUUUCCCUUGGGACAUAAGUGACCUUGGGAAGGCCGAUUUCUCCUGGCUGGGGGCGGGGCCGUUCAUUUUGCAGCCCCUUCCGUCAUCGAGCUGGCGAGGUCUUCCGUCACCCUCUAACUGAGCCCCUCCUGGUGACAUAAUUGCAAAGGGGGCGAAGUUCUUGAAGACCCCUGCAGUUCUUAGGAUGCCUGCACUAGUUGUAUCUGUGCGCCUCCUGGGACUUGCUCAUCUUAGACGCUUAAUCAGCUUCAGUUACUGACGACUGAAUGGAUCCGAGGCGGGUUUCACCUUCAUAAGUCCGGACCCCGCAAUUCCUUUUGCAGGCGGAGGGAAUAUUGGGAUGAUUAAUAGUCGCGCGGCAGGGUUGCUGAUGUAAAGAGAUUUGCGGAUGUAAAGGGCAAUAAACAUGCGGAUGUGAAGGGAUCCAUAGAGAUUCCAGAAGUCUCUGAAGAGCCGUGGGUGUGUGCGGCAGGGCCGUGGAGGCGGGGGUGGGGCGGGCCGUGCCGCAGUGGCUGUGACUGGGUACUCCGAGGCAAUUAACAAGAUGCGUAGGGCUAAUUCUUCAUGAGGCCUAUCUGCCCCCAACGCCGACACCCCCACCUGCCCUGCCCUGCCCUGCCCUGCUAUGGUCGCCCACGCCUCCCAGACCUUUUGGCCAUAGCUGUGGGUGUUUUCCAGAAUUUGAAAGUCGGAAGGGACUCCAGGGAUUAAACUUAUUUCACAGACAAGGACACUAAAACUCAUCGAAGUUGGUUCAUCUAAUCAAAUUUGAACAGAUAGCUAGGAACAGGUAGAAGUCGGAUCUCUGGUUUUAAAAUGUGUUCUUCCCUCUCGUUAGUGGGUAUCAAGGUGUGUCUCAACCUGAGCUCGGGUGACUGUAGGACCCUGUUACUUAGCUGAUAUACAGUCAGUCCAAACAGUACAUUUAGGUUACUUAAGGAUGCCCCCUUUCACAAUGGGACGAUUGUCAAGAGGUGUUUGCUCCUAAAGCCACUGGCAUUCCUCUUUGCCGUGGCGGGAUCUUUGUCUAGAGAAGGCUCGCUGUGCCGACACCCGUCUUUGGCUCGCUUGCAUUUCCUAUUCGUACCCCCAAGCCGUAGGCAGAGCGCUCAGGCUGCGGCUGGCACUUUUCGAACCUCCGGGUUGACUCUGAAGACAGCUCACGCUGAGAAGACUCCUCGUUGACUGGGGUCUCCUCACCACCCUCUCACCGGCUGGUUUGGGGAGUGGUCUGGGAACCGUCCUCUCCUCACUGACUGUACCUGGCACUGGAGCUUCAGAACAGCGGCUCUGCCCCCUGGUGGUUGUGGGGGCCAAGUGUGCCCCCCUCCGGGCCCCUGGGCAUCCUGGCAGACAGUAGGUUGUUGUUGUAAAGGAGGCAGGCCAGGGGGCAGAGUGUGAAAGUUGUUUCUCUGGUUCUGCCCCAAGUGUCCUGGGGGGGGGGGGGUUCAAACUCAGGCUGUCACGCUUGGCAGCAAGCACCUUUACGUGCUGAGCCAUAUCGUGGGCCCACUCUGAUGGGAAGAGCCUACCUGGCAGAUGAAACCACAACCAACAAUAAAAUACCGGACCAGCCUAGCUGUUUUCUCUCUCUGGAUUAUUUCUGAAGACUUGUUCCACGUGGAUGUGGGAAAACCGCUUUGUAAUUUCUCUUGCCAGGGCUGCUUUUCCAAACCCGCCCUGCUUCUCUUUCCAACUUUAUUUAUUUCAAGUCCCAUCUUUGAAAUAAAUUUCUGGACUUUUCUCACUCAUAA